rnacentral:rRNA from 1 species
UACGUAGGGAGCAAGCGUUGUCCGGAAUCAUUGGGCGUAAAGCGCGCGUAGGUGGACAUACAAGUCUGCUGUCAAAGUGCAGAGCUUAACUCUGUAAAGGCGGUGGAAACUGUAGGUCUUGAGUAUGGUAGGGGUAGAGGGAAUUCCCGGUGUAGCGGUGAAAUGCGUAGAUAUCGGGAAGAACACCAGUGGCGAAAGCGCUCUACUGGGCCAUAACUGACACUGAGGGACGAAAGCUAGGGGAGCGAAAGGG